UACGUAGGGUGCGAGCGUUGUCCGGAAUUAUUGGGCGUAAAGAGCUCGUAGGCGGCCUGUCGCGUCGGAUGUGAAAACUCGGGGCUUAACCCCGAGCCUGCAUUCGAUACGGGCAGGCUAGAGUUCGGCAGGGGAGACUGGAAUUCCUGGUGUAGCGGUGAAAUGCGCAGAUAUCAGGGGGAACACCGGUGGCGAAGGCGGGUCUCUGGGCCGAUACUGACGCUGAGACGCGAAAGCGUGGGGAGCAAACAGG
rnacentral:rRNA from 1 species